AUGCUUGGUGACAGCAACACAUGCAUAUUUUGGUGCAAUCAUUGGCUCAAAGGGCAGUCCAUCUCUGAGAUUGCACCAACCCUGCUUACCCAUAUCCCGCGUCAGGGCCGGAACAAGAGACUUGUCUACGAGGCCCUCUCUGAUCGUUGCUGGAUCACGGACAUCCAUGGCAACCUCAGUCCCGCAGCAAUCCUCGAGUAUGUGGAACUUUGGAGGUGUCUUCAGGGGAUAACCCCCUCUAGAGAGCCGGACCGACUUUCUUGGAAAUGGACCGCUCACGACACUCACACGACAACUCUGCCUACAGAGAACAGUUCAUAA
rnacentral:rRNA from 1 species